GCUGAGCUUAGUAACUUAAGCUUGUAACCCAAGUGGGAGCAAUAAGGUGAUUGGGACAAUCAAUUAAAGCCAUUUGACAGAUUUAGUGUGUGUUGAUUUGGUUGGUUUCUUGGUGGUAAGCAGUAUUAUUCCAGCAGUAAUAAUACUGUGUGUCAAUCCUUUAGAGAAGGGAGUUGACGUAGAGUGGGGGUAGAUGAGGUGCCAAGAGGUGCACCUCCUGGGCUGACUUAACAGAGCAGCGCUCCCCGUUUGAUAGCCCAGAAGUGCUGUCAAGACCAGAGACCAGUGCCGGCCAGGUAGCGUGCUUACUAAGAUUUGUCAGGCUUACGUUGGUUGGACCAUCAUCUUU
rnacentral:SRP_RNA from 1 species